CCAAUAUCAGUAAUUUUGUAGACUGAAAAAUGGCAGUCAACAACUACUGCAUGCACUUAUCUAUUUCAGAUUUAAAAAAAAAAAAAAUUUUUGUCAUGAUUUAUUUUCCAUACUGAGGAAAAAAUUUCCCCUUUUUCCCAUUGCAUGUUAUUUUUGUUCCAGUUUAAUGUUUGCCUUUCAAAGCCCCUUUAAAGGGAAGUUUUGGCAUGCUAAAAAAUGUGAAAAAUGAGGGUUUUGCAAAAAUUUUAAAUAAAAUAUAGCACCUCUGUGGCAACACUAAAUAGCUUUUGCAAAACAAUUACACUAAACAGGCCUACCUCUCCCAAUGCCUUCUAAUAUUAAAAAAUUGACCCAUGAAAGUGAUUCCAACCCAAGGGUAUUGACAAUACGUUAUUUCAAAUAGAUAAGAGAACUAAUUGAUGGUUGUGCUGAGCUUUGGUUCAUCAAAGGAUCUUGUGAGAAAGUAUCUCCAGCUCAAGAGAAACUGAGUGCUGAGUUUUUGCCUGGGAAGCCCAAGAGGCCAGUGCCAUGUAGGAUUCAGAGCAAUUCAAUUAAUUUAAGCAAAAUGACAACCAAGGCUUCUCUAAGAUUUUGCCUUUGUCAGAGCAAGGACUGCAGACAAGAUGCAGCCACUGUGUUCUUCUUCACAGAAGACAAAAUAUUGUUAUCUCUAAUCCAAGGAACUAAUAACUGUUUGGAAACCUUUCAGAUAGGAACAUUUGGAAGAAGAAUUCAGUGUAAAUCAGACUGAUGGUUUUUCUCUGCCACCUCCCACUGUCACUGACAGUUGUUAGUGACAAUGAAAUCAUCCAGCAGAUGCUGUAUUGCUUUAAACCCUCAGAGCUACAAUGCUACAACAUGUACUUUUAACAAUUUAACAUCACUGACAUAAUUUUCAUAGCUUCAUGGAACAGUGAACAUCCACAUGCCCAUAAGUCAGACAGAAAUCUCCCAGGUUUAUUUACCCAUUGUCAUCCUUUAUCUAAGUGAGUGAAAAUGUUGGCAAGUGGAAGAGUAGUGGCUACAGGUGACUACAAAUCGCCCCAUUUAAUCCAAAACUUGUGCACUAGGAGGAUUCACCAAGGAUCAUGUUAAAGGUAUGGUUCUAACAGAAAAUACUAUGUAUUCUUCACAAUAUUUCCAAGUGGACUUAAUUAACAUCUCAAGAUGCUAUCUGUGUUGAAACCCAGUGCUGCUCAAAUCAUGACUUGUUUUCUGAACCACCUACAUAGUCCUUAGGUAUACUGUCAAAGCUCCUUGUACAGGAGAUAUCACCACAUCACCCUUAGAGAAAGAAGUCCUCCAAAGGAUAAAACAGCUACAGUAGAACUCAAGAUUCAAGUUUUAUUUUCCCUUCCCUUCCCUUCCCUUCCCCUUCCCUUCCCUUCCCUUCCCUUCCCUUCCCUUCCCUUCCCUUCCCUUCCCUUCCCUUCCCUUCCCUUCCCUUCCCUUCCCUUCCCUUCCCUUCCCUUCCCUUCCCUUCCCUUCCCUUCCCUUCCCUUCCCUUCCCUUCCCUUCCCUUCCCUUCCCUUCCCUUCCCUUCCCACAUUUGGUAUUGAUUCACUUUGGAGGAUUUUGUGCUAAUGUAGAACAAGGACAUGAUUUUGAAGGUAUCACUAUGAAGGUUUAUCACCGAGCUCUGUGGGCCACAAGGUGCUAAAAGACACAAAUGCCUGAGGCUGGGGCAGCUUACAUGGCACAAAUGAAAAGUCAUAAUAAAUGAUAGCCUGUUUCUAAGGAUGAACUCAUUUGGCUUGGCUGGCUGUGAGUUUAAAAAUAAUUAUAAAUAAAAAAUAAACUGACAUACUGUACAGCCAAAACCAAAAUUGAGUAGGGAACAAAACAGCACCAUAUUGCCUGCAAUUCCAACACUUUCUGAAUUGACUUGAGAUUACUUUUUUCAAACAAACACCAAUAUUUUUUUUUCCUUUUGGAAGCAAAAUCAGUUCUCUGUGGUUGAAGUUCCUUGUAUUUACCCAUUACUUUUUGCUACUAUUUCAACAGCAUGGAAGUGCAUUGCUACUAGCUAGCCAUCACAAAACUGGGCUGAAGAGCCUGUGCCAAGAGGCAGAUGAGGUAUUUCCCUGGGAGUGCUGUGCUGGAGCUAGGUAUGCAGACAGGAGGAACCAGAACUGCUGACUGAUCAGGUAGAGUUGGGACACACAGGCAGAACUGCUGAAAGCAAGGGAAUAUGGCUAGAACGUCUCUGACUGGCAAAAAAAAAAAAAAAAAAAAAAAAA
ensembl:lncRNA